AUUUCUGCCUUUGCCUGUACAGCUCCACUCAGGUGUACUGUCUGUUCUUCGGAGUUUUAUCUUGGAUAUGUCCCCUUCCUGGGGACCAUAAAUUAAAUGGAUUUCUUUUUGAGAACUGGGGCAGGUUUCGAAGUUUGCUUCUGUCUCCCCAUGCAGUUACCCGACAGAGCAGUAUCUUUGGGUACAGUACACCCAAA